rnacentral:rRNA from 1 species
UGAGGAAGUAUUGCACAAUAGGAGGAAACGUACUCGAUGCAGCAACGCCGCGUGGAGGAUGACGCAUUUCGGUGUGUAAACUCCUUUUAUGAGUCAAGAAAAUGACGGUAGCUCAUGAAUAAGCACCGGCUAACUCCGUGCCAGCAGCCGCGGUAAUACGGAGGGUGCAAGCGUUAUUCGGAAUCACUGGGCGUAAAGGACGCGUAGGCGGGAAGCCAAGUCUGAUGUGAAAUCCUAUGGCUUAACCAUAGAACUGCAUUGGAAACUGGUUACCUAGAGUAUGGGAGGGGGAGAUGGAAUUAGUGGUGUAGGGGUAAAAUCCGUAGAUAUCACUAGGAAUACCGAAAGCGAAGGCGAUCUCCUGGAACAAUACUGACGCUAAGGCGUGAAAGCGUGGGGAGCAAACG